rnacentral:rRNA from 1 species
GACGAACGCUGGCGGCGUGCUUAACACAUGCAAGUCGAACGGAAAGGCCUGCUUUCCCUUGUGGAUUGCGGGUACUCGAGUGGCGAACGGGUGAUUAACACGUGAGUGAUCUGCCCCCAACUUGGGUAUAAGCCUGGGAAACUGGGUCUAAUUCCCGAUAGGACUGCAGGGUGGUGCCUGUGGUGGAAAACGAUUUUCUAGUGGUUGGGGAUGAGCUCGCGGCCUAUCAGCUUGUUGGUGGGGUAAUGGCCUACCAAGGCGGCGACGGGUAGCCGGCCUGAGAGGGUGGACGGCCACAUUGGGACUGAGAUACGGCCCAGACUCCUACGGGAGGCAGCAGUGGGGAAUAUUGCACAAUGGGCGGAAGCCUGAGGCAGCGACGCCGCGUGGGGGAUGACGGCCUUCGGGUUGUAAACUCCUUUCGACCGCGAGGAAGCCACCUGGUUGGAAGGGUGGUGACGGUAGUGGUAGAAGAAGCACCGGCUAACUACGUG